GACGAACGCUGGCGGCGUGCCUAAUACAUGCAAGUAGAACGCAGUUGUGAACGGGUGCGUAACGCGUAGGUAACUGUCUGGCAGCGGGGGCUAACUAUUGGAAACGAUAGCUAAUACCGCAUACUACCAGAUGGACCUGCGUUGUAUUAGCUAGUUGGUGGGGUAACGGCGCCCCAAGGCAACGAUACAUAGCCUACCUGAGAGGGUGAGCGGCCACACUGGGACUGAGACACGGGCCAGAAUACAAAGGGAGGGAGCAGUAGGGAAAUGUCGGAAAUGGAGGGAAGUAUGAACGAGGAACGCCGCGGGAGGGAAGAAGGGUUUCGGAUCGUAAAGCUCGGUUGUAAGAGAAGCGGUAUCUUAACAGAAAGGGACGGAUAACUACGUGCCAGCAGCCGCGGUAAUUC
rnacentral:rRNA from 1 species